rnacentral:rRNA from 1 species
UGCAAGUCGAGCGCAGGAGCAAGMUGAUCCCUUCGGGGUGACGCUUGUGGAAUGAGCGGCGGACGGGUGAGUAACACGUGGGCAACCUGCCUUGUAGACUGGGAUAACUUCGGGAAACCGAAGCUAAUACCGGAUGAUCAAUGGAAUCGCAUGAUUCUAUUGUAAAAGUGGGGAGUAAUCCUCACACUACGAGAUGGGCCCGCGGCGCAUUAGCUAGUUGGUAAGGUAAUGGCUUACCAAGGCAACGAUGCGUAGCCGACCUGAGAGGGUGAUCGGCCACACUGGAACUGAGACACGGUCCAGACUCCUACGGGAGGCAGCAGUAGGGAAUCAUCCGCAAUGGGCGAAAGCCUGACGGUGCAACGCCGCGUGAACGAUGAAGGUUUUCGGAUCGUAAAGUUCUGUUAUGAGGGAAGAACAAGUGCCGUUCGAAUAGGGCGGCACCUUGACGGUACCUCACGAGAAAGCCCCGGCUAACUACGUGCCAGCAGCCGCGGUAAUACGUAGGGGGCAAGCGUUGUCCGGAAUUAUUGGGCGUAAAGCGCGCGCAGGCGGUCUCUUAAGUCUGAUGUGAAAGCCCACGGCUCAACCGUGGAGGGUCAUUGGAAACUGGGGGACUUGAGUGUAGGAGAGGAAAGUGGAAUUCCACGUGUAGCGGUGAAAUGCGUAGAUAUGUGGAGGAACACCAGUGGCGAAGGCGACUUUCUGGCCUACAACUGACGCUGAGGCGCGAAAGCGUGGGGAGCAAACAGGAUUAGAUACCCUGGUAGUCCACGCUGUAAACGAUGAGUGCUAGGUGUUAGGGGUUUCGAUGCCCUUAGUGCCGAAGUUAACACAUUAAGCACUCCGCCUGGGG